UGAUAUACAAACCUAUUAACUUUAUUGAUGUGUUAGGCUCUCCUUUGAAAUCAAUUGACCAAAGUGGCUGUUCCACCAAGCUGUUCUUCAGUGCUAGGCGUGGAGCAAAACCAUCCUCAUCUGGAAGAUCAUUGUCUAUUCAAGCGAGAUAUAGUGAUGGUGGAAGGCCAAGCAAUGGUGGCUUCUUUAUUGGUGGCUUUGUUUUGGGAGGAUUAAUUGUUGGCACACUUGGUUGUGUCUAUGCACCUCAG